UCAUGGGCCUCAAAUAAUGUGUGAC
rnacentral:rRNA from 1 species